ACUCUCCAAAUCCCUUGCUCUUAGAUUGAAUAUUGAUCUAGGUGGCUGCAAAAGGAGGAAAAGUAAAAGUAAAGCUGACUUGGAGUUUUUAAUGA
rnacentral:snoRNA from 1 species